UGUAAGCGAUUGGACCGUUGCCGAAUCUAGGUGGCAGCACUGGUGAUCGGGUACAGCAGUCGUACUAAAGUUCUUGGGAUUUUGCUACGUGACUUAAGUUUCUCGACGAUUCAUCUAUUCCAAAAUGCGUCAAUUUACUAAAGUUAUCGCCCAAGCUGGACGUUUGACUUCACAGCCGGUUCGUAAUGGCUCGUACGUAUCACACAUUAAAAAUGCCACCAUGAAUGAAAUGCCUGUUCCCGCUGGCUCUUGGGCUGAGUAUAACAGUGCAAAACAACAAACCUACAAUUUACAUCUGGUGGCUGGAUUAGCAGUGACGAUUGUCACCCUUAUAGUGGGCGUACAAACAGAUGCUUUCUACCUGAACUGGGGUCCCGAGAUGAAGAACAAGAAAUGAACCAUUUCACAAGUCUCCUGUAAAUGACCAUAAGACUUUGUAGUCUGAAGAGUUCAAUUAGCAAAUUAUGUUCCUCAGAAUGUCACUCGAAUAAACAACCUAAAUUAA